UACGUAGGGUGCUAGCGUUGUUCGGAAUCAUUGGGCGUAAAGCGCGUGUAGGCGGUUUGAUAAGUCGAGUGUGAAAUCCCUGGGCUUAACCGAGGAAGUGCAUUCGAAACUAUCAGGCUAGAAAGCGGUAGAGGAAGGUGGAAUUCCUAGUGUAGAGGUGAAAUUCGUAGAUAUUAGGAGGAAUACCGGUGGCGAAGGCGGCCCUCUGGACCGAUUUUGACGCUGAGACGCGAAAGCGUGGGGAGCAAACAGG
rnacentral:rRNA from 1 species